rnacentral:rRNA from 1 species
GCUUGUCUCAAAGAUUAAGCCAUGCAUGUCUAAGUAUAAACAACUUUAUACUGUGAAACUGCGUACAGCUCAUUAUAUCAGUUAUAAUUUAUUUGAUGGUGAAUAUACUACAUGGAUAACCGUGGUAAUUCUAGAGCUAAUACAUGCGUAAAAUCCCAACUAACGAAGGGAUGUAUUUAUUAGAUACAACCGGCCGCUGCAAAGCGUUUUUUGUCGACUCAUAGUAACUAACGAAUCGCUCUUGUACUAGAGCGAUAGUUCAUUCAAAUUUCUGCCCUAUCAGCUUUCGACGGUAGUGUAGUGGACUACCGUGGCGUUAACGGGUAACGGAGAAUUAGGGUUCGAUUCCGGAGAGGGAGCCUGAGAAACGGCUACCACAUCCAAGGAAGGCAGCAGG